rnacentral:lncRNA from 1 species
GCCGCCGCCUCGGCCUUUCGCUGGGGCCGCGGGCGCCUCCGCGGAACCGGGCCUCGGGGGCAGUUUUUGCAGCCGCAGAAGUUCCCCCCCUCGGUCGGCAGAAGCCCCCAGCCCUGCGAGGUCCGCGGGCGGGACCGAGCGCUCCUCCGCCGGCUCUCACCGCCCAGCCGGCUCCUCCAUCGUGCCCCCUUGGCCGUGGCUUGCCCCCGUCUGGGAAGCCGCUGUGGAAAAAAAGGCGAGCAGGGGAAAAGAUUUUGAAAGGGACUGGAAAGAAAUUGGUGGAAAUGGAAGCUUAUCGAUGCCUAUGUCCAGAGCCUUCCACAAAUGAGAUGAGACGUUUUACCUGUGAAACCUGUAUGUGAUAAAGUGAUUUCUGGAAAAGACUUUACCUGCUCUCCAGACUUCUGAAAUCUGACCCAGAUGGCAGCUAUAACU